rnacentral:rRNA from 1 species
UACGUAGGGCGCAAGCGUUGUCCGGAAUUAUUGGGCGUAAAGAGCUCGUAGGCGGCUUGUCACGUCGGGUGUGAAAGCCCGGGGCUUAACCCCGGGUCUGCAUUCGAUACAGGCUAGCUAGAGUGUGGUAGGGGAGAUCGGAAUUCCUGGUGUAGCGGUGAAAUGCGCAGAUAUCAGGAGGAACACCGGUGGCGAAGGCGCCACUCUGGGCCGAAACUGACGCUGAGGAGCGAAAGCGUGGGUAGCAAACAGG